rnacentral:rRNA from 1 species
UACGUAGGGUGCAAGCGUUAAUCGGAAUUACUGGGCGUAAAGCGUGCGCAGGCGGUUUUGUAAGUCAGAUGUGAAAUCCCCGGGCUUAACCUGGGAACUGCAUUUGUGACUGCAUCGCUGGAGUGCGGCAGAGGGGGAUGGAAUUCCGCGUGUAGCAGUGAAAUGCGUAGAUAUGCGGAGGAACACCGAUGGCGAAGGCAAUCCCCCUGGGCCUGCACUGACGCUCAUGCACGAAAGCGUGGGGAGC